rnacentral:rRNA from 1 species
UACGAAGGGGGCUAGCGUUGCUCGGAAUCACUGGGCGUAAAGCGCACGUAGGCGGCGCGGUAAGUCGGGUGUGAAAUCUCGGAGCUUAACUCCGAAACUGCAUUCGAUACUGCCGUGCUUGAGGACUGGAGAGGAGACUGGAAUUUACGGUGUAGCGGUGAAAUGCGUAGAUAUCUGGAGGAACACCGGUGGCGAAGGCGGCAUCCUGGACCGAGAUUGACGCUGAGGCGCGAAAGCCAGGGGAGCAAACGGG